rnacentral:misc_RNA from 1 species
GCAUAUCUAGCAAUAGCAUUACCAAGCUUAUUAGCGUCACAGGGAACAUAAGAGAGAAAUACAGCAAUGGUAGCCCCAAUUGAGACUAGUUUGUGAAAGGACAUUUUAUCAUAGAACUUACAAGCAGGUUAUAACUCUCAACUAGAAGAUGAGAAAAUUGCAGGUCCUUAUCCAAGAGAAUUGCAGAAGCCUCAGCUAAUUCCACCGAGAAAUUUACCCAAGAUGAAGCCGAUAUGAACAAAUGGAGGUCUCCUUUUCAGUGCAAUGCAGGUCUCCUUUUCACAUGAACAAAUGAAGAUUUUAUAGGAUAAGAAUCAGCACUAUCAAAUGUCAUUGAAGUGCUGAUUCCAUGGCACGUUAUCAGAGAGUUGAGGCAUACAUUUGGAGUGACAACUCUUGCAUUGUUCACGAACAGACCUAAUCUUCCACUGUUGGUAAUCCUGAGCAUCUUGUUGGGUACGCUUGAAGGAACCAGAGUUCCAUUGGGAAAAUGUAACAAGUGACUGAGGAGCAGUUCACUUGGGAUUGAGUGACUGAGAAUGAAAUCUUGGAGAUUGUCCAGCUUCAAGGCAACUUUUGACAGUUCCUCAUCAUUGGGCAUCAAGAAAGUUAUUUGCCCUUCAUGCAGCGAGUUGGGUGCACUGUUUAGGAUCUUCAGGAGGAUUACAAAUCCAUAGUAAAAUGAUGUUCUCAUGUCAUCCAUGGCUACCUGCAGAUCAGUUUGGUUUAAUGGAUUACUGGGUUGAGAUUCUCCAACACCAAAGAGUGGAAGGAGAAUGAGAAACAAGAGAGCCAUUGGGAGUGAUUUGGUCUGGUGUAACCAGUAGGAGAGAUCCCGCUGUUAUUCUUGUGCUCUUGAGAAGGUUUACAUGAGUUCUGUUUUCAGGGUUAGUUGGUGGGUUGUUUGUGCAUGAAGAAA